CUGGCCGCCGAGCGGGGUAGACGUGGAGCACCUCGGCUCCCUGCUAAAAUCACAGAGACCAGCUUAAAUAUGCCCUUCUUUACCUGGAAACCCCUCAGCUGCCGUGAGAGGGCAAAGGGGACCCGACCAACAGCCUUCGGGGCAAGUAUCAGCCCCCGCUCCGCUGGCGAUGCGGUCUGCUAGGCGAGGGGGAUUGCGGCCUGCUGUGAGGCCCUGGCGGGAGAAGCGGCCGAUCUCUCGUGCUUGGUCCGGCAGGACCUCCCGCCGCCUGCAAAGGGCCCCGUUACCCCCCCCUGUGGGCCGGGGGGUUAUCCCGGACCCCAUCGGGGACGCAGCGCUCGUUCAGGGCAUCUAAGCGGCAGGAAGACUGACCGGGGACCGCAUGGGGAAAAACUAAGAUGGCCGCCGCGCUCAUUGUGAGACAAAGUGAGGCAACAGCAGACAGACGGAGUGCUCCUUUCACCCACAGGAUACCUGUAUAAGGGAUAUACUCCACAAGCAAGCCAAGCACAGCUCAGCUCAGCAUUAUAGCACUCACACCAACAGAGGCAUCACCUCUCAUUAACACAAGUGGAUAUAAGGGGAAUCUGUCUGGACCCUGACCCUGCCUGAAUACAAGGGAACAACGUAAAUGGGGAAUAAGCUCCACUCCUGACUGUCAAGCCCCCACACAGUGAAAUAACCAGCUAAACGCACAGCUGCAGGAGGGACCAAGCGGCUUCUAACUAUUUAUGCCUAAAGCUAUAAUAGACUGUGGUGUACCUCUUGGUCUAGUAUCUCCUCUACCAUAUUGAUGUGUGUUUUUAUAGCAGAUUCUUCCUGCAGUUAGAAAGCAAUUAAAAUGUUUGAGCCUGCAUGUAUGUCUGACGCUCUGCUGCCCCCUGGUGGUUAAACUUAAUUAAGCCUAUAGACAUCGGGUCUUGAUGCUGACCAUUGCUCCUGUUUUAAAGGCAAAAAUAAGCUCACUGUUUUGGUUCUCACACAUAUGCCUAAUUAGACAAGUUAAGCAUCAAUUAUCUUGCUGUAUUUCGUUUAACUUCAUGCUAAUGAUACAAAUAGUUAGGCAAGCUUGCUAAAAAUAUGAAAUUGUGCAGACUCUCAUGCCAUUGUUUAACCAUUGUAUAUCUUGCACUACGCUGUUGUGGCGCCUGUUUUCUUGUACCCACCUGCACAGCAAAAAUAAAGAAUAAAAAAAAA